rnacentral:rRNA from 1 species
CAGCCGCCGCGGUAAUACGUAGGUGGCAAGCGUUGUCCGGAAUUAUUGGGCGUAAAGGGCUCGCAGGCGGUUUCUUAAGUCUGAUGUGAAAGCCCCCGGCUCAACCGGGGAGGGUCAUUGGAAACUGGGAAACUUGAGUGCAGAAGAGGAGAGUGGAAUUCCACGUGUAGCGGUGAAAUGCGUAGAGAUGUGGAGGAACACCAGUGGCGAAGGCGACUCUCUGGUCUGUAACUGACGCUGAGGAGCGAAAGCGUGGGGAGCGAACAGGAUUAGAUACCCCGGUAGUCCCUGUCUCUUAUAU